UGAGGAAUAUUGGUCAAUGGGCGGCAGCCUGAACCAGCCAUCCCGCGUGAAGGAAGAAUGCGCUAUGCGUUGUAAACUUCUUUUUCAGGGGGAUAAAAUUUUGUAUGUAUACAGAACUGAAGGUACCCUGAGAAUAAGCAUCGGCUAACUCCGUGCCAGCAGCCGCGGUAAUACGGAGGAUGCGAGCGUUAUCCGGAUUUAUUGGGUUUAAAGGGUGCGUAGGCGGAAGUAUAAGUCAGUGGUGAAACCCUGCAGCUUAACUGUAGACUUGCCAUUGAUACUGUUUUUCUUGAGUAUGGUCAAGGCAGGCGGAAUGUGUAAUGUAGCGGUGAAAUGCUUAGAUAUUACACAGAACACCGAUAGCGAAGGCAGCUUGCUGGGCCGUUACUGACGCUGAUGCACGAAAGCGUGGGGAUCGAACAG
rnacentral:rRNA from 1 species